UCCUCGGUGGCUCAGAUGGACAGAACGUCUGCCUUGUAAGCAGGACAUUCCGGGUUCGAGUCCCGGUUGGGGAA